rnacentral:rRNA from 1 species
AGUGAACGCUGGCGGUAGGCCUAACACAUGCAAGUCGAACGGCAGCACAGUAAGAGCUUGCUCUUACGGGUGGCGAGUGGCGGACGGGUGAGGAAUACAUCGGAAUCUACUUUUUCGUGGGGGAUAACGUAGGGAAACUUACGCUAAUACCGCAUACGACCUACGGGUGAAAGCAGGGGAUCUUCGGACCUUGCGCGAUUGAAUGAGCCGAUGUCGGAUUAGCUAGUUGGCGGGGUAAAGGCCCACCAAGGCGACGAUCCGUAGCUGGUCUGAGAGGAUGAUCAGCCACACUGGAACUGAGACACGGUCUAGACUCCUACGGGAGGCAGCAGUGGGGAAUAUUGGACAAAGGGCGCAAGCCUGAUCCAGCCAUACCGCGUGGGUGAAGAAGGCCUUCGGGUUGUAAAGCCCUUUUGUUGGGAAAGAAAAGCAGCAGGUUAAUACCCCGCUGUUCUGACGGUACCCAAAGAAUAAGCACCGGCUAACUUCGUG